rfam:Pyrococcus furiosus DSM 3638, complete genome.
AAAGAUGAUGAACCCGCGCAGCUCUGAAGGGAUGAUGAGGAUCUUAAGUGCUGAUCU